rnacentral:tRNA from 1 species
UCCCAUUUGGUCUAGAGGUUAGGAUUCCUGGCUUUCACCCAGACUGCCCGUGUUCAGUUCCUGGCAUGGGAA